rnacentral:lncRNA from 10 species
GUUGGGGCUGAGCUGAUCUGGUCUGGUCUGGGCUGAGGCUGAAGCUGGGACUUGGCUGGGCUGGGCUGGGUUGGGUUGGGUCUGGGCUGGGGCUGGGGCUGAGCUGGGCUGGGUCUGAGCUGGUCUGGUCUGGUCUGGGCUGAGCUGGGCUGAGCUGGUCUGGGCUGGACUGGUCUGGUCUGGACUAGGCUGGUCUGGGCUGGCCUGGUCUGGUCUGGACUAGGCUGGUCUGGGCUGGCCUGGUCUGGUCUGGAGUGGGGUGGGCUGGGCUGGGCUGGGGUACUGCUGGGAUCCAAACUGUGUCUGCUCUGGCAGAGGUGAGAGGUGGGUGGUUGUUUAGGGAGGUGGGGGCUGGGAGUGGGGCUCCAAGGGUCUUGGGAAGGGGAAUGAACACUGGCCUUGAAGGCAGAGACUUGGGGUCUUGGCAACUGUGAUCAAGUUACUUUACUGCUCAGAGCCUCAGCCUGCCCGUCGGUAGAGUAGUUGUGAUAGCACAGCCCCCAGAGUGGAGGCUGAGGUAAGGAAUAGACACAGAACCUGGUAUACAGGAAGCACUCAGUGGACAGCUAUUGUCUACCUCUCCAUUAAGGUCCUUGUCACAUCUCUCUUUGCAAAUGGUCAUGGACUAAGGCUGUUAUUUGACAUUCCCUGUGCUCCUUUAGCCCCAAGCCUAGGGAGGGCACUGGCAGGUGGCCCUGGGACCGCCUCUCCUCCUGGGAAGCCCCGCGUGUUUCCAGGCUCUGGAGCAAGCCUCCCAGAGCUGGAAGGCGCCGUUGUGUACGUGGGCCGCCGCCCUCCACCGCCCUCCGCCGCCAGGGCUCUGCAGACGCUGGCUCCCAGGAGCCGGGACAAAGCCCUAUUAUGCAGGGUGCUCACACUCACGUCUGAAGCGUGUGAACCUGCCGACCCGCCCGCCCGGCCCACAGAGGCUAGAGUGGCUCUGCCCAGCCAUUGUUCCCACAGGGUAAGGGAGGUCACCCGGGGUGAGGCCGCCCAGGGCGUCUUUUGAGGCUGCGGAGGAUGAACCCUCUUUUGCUGGGAUGGGAAUAGCUGUUCUCUGUCUUCCUCUUGGUGUAGUCUUGGUUGAAGGUGGCAGGCUCUGAUCUGGAAGGAAGGAUGCCCAGGCUCUGUUUAGCACCGGGAGGUGGGAAUGCCGGGUCCCAGGGUGGCUUUUGGAAUGGAGUAGGUGUGUAGCUGGAGGAUGUGGAACUUGCCGGAGCAGCAGAGGGGUAAACCACAUCCACUCAUCCCGUCAGUAACUAUUUGUUGAGAGCUCACGAUGGGCCAGGCACUGUGGAUGCAGUAAGAACAGGUACAAAUCUCCACUCUCACGGAGCCUGUCUUCCAGGGAGGACUUCUAGAAGACCUCGCCUGGCCUUUUCUGGCUUUCCAGCUCUAUGAAAUGAUUCACUUUUCCACUGGACACUUAUUAAGCCUGAGGGAUAUUCAUUCAUUCAUUCAUCCACUCAUCCAUCCAUUCAUUCAUUCAACAAAUGCUUAUUGAGCAGCACCUACUAUGAGCCGCACCCUUCAUUAGCAAUCAGGUUGUCUUAGCUUUGGUUGUCCCAGACAAAUCCUGAGACAAGGACUCCUGUGUUGGGUGGUUUAUUAGGAUGCACUUCCAGAAGAAACCAGUAAGGGGUGGAGGUAGGGGGUGAAGAAGAGGUCAGGGGACUCAGCCACAGAGGGUGAGAUUUCAGGGACACUUCCAGUCUCAGCCUGAUCUCCUGGGGGAGCUCUGGGGGUAUAAAUUGUAAAUUGUGCCUCAGAGCUUGUCCCGAGUUUAGGCAAGGAGCUGGUGGCCCCAGGGCCUCACCAGGGCUCUUAAACUUGGGGGCGCUUGGGCUCUCUGAAUGCAGCUAGGGUAGCUCAGGUAGCCCAGGCCUGUCCUCUAAAGGGAGUCACAGGCGUAGGUGGAUAGAGGCGAAAGUGAUAGAGGCCAUAGAGCCAGGAAAGGCUCACCCAGAAAUGUGAAAUGAAAAGUGCCCCCAAACUGGAACCAGCCUUGCCCAGGAUGGAGCCUUGGCAGAACAACCAGGUGGGGGCGGGGACUUGUGAGUCAAGCACUCCCUAGAGGCCCUACCUCCUUUAUCCCCCAGCCUAGGGAAAGAGGCAUCAGGGAGGUCUUCUUGGAGGAGGUGACCCUAUGGGUGCAGUGGGUGCAGAACGAUUGCUAUACAAAUACACACACACAUACACACACACACGCAAACGCAUGCAGAAACUUGUGGCAGGGUUGGGAUUUGAACCUAGGUCUGCUGAUUCUAAAACCUGUGUUUAUUUCAUUUUGCUUUUCUCUACAUUAACAUUUUUUCACCCAAGGUCAUGAUUUCAUAGAGUGGGUUGAAGGCGUUUUAGUGGUCGUCGCAGCCAGCUCCUUUGGGUUUCAGGCUGGGGAGCUGAGUCUGGGAGAGGGGCGAUGGCUUCCUAGUGUCACACAGUGGUUUAGCGCCCGAAUCCUGGCCUCAGAGUCCCAGCCCCAGACUUGCCAAGCCUCAGUUCCUGCUGACUCUUGCAUCAUGGGAUUUUGGGCUCUGUGAGUCUGCAGUACAGACAGGACAGGUUAUGUCCUUCCGGGAAAGGCCCGGAGGUUAUUUGGAUGCAAAGAUGAAGAAAGGCUAAUGGGAUAAGCAGACAGCGUUUGUCUGUCUCCUGCAGCAGAGCAGUGGGGAUUUACCCUGUGGGAACAGGUAAUCCUGGUAGGGGCGGGUUUACAAAGUCCAUUUUGUCCAUGUUGACUAGUAAAUUGGCUUAAGGCUUGCAGUUCGGCCAUUCACCAUCCUGGACUUGCAUGAAAGGUGAAAACAACCUUUCUAAGCCCCUUCAUACCCAUCCCACCACUUUUAGGGGUGGAGAGUGAAGAUCACUUGAAAGAAACUUCAGCUAGAAAAUAAGUCUGUGCUCCUCAGCUUCGCCUGGAGUGCAUUUCUUAUCUGUGAGUAAUGACUUUUUCACAAUCCACCUUUUAUACUCAUUUCAAUAAUGUGCCUUGGGAAGCCAAGGUUCUCUUAAAGGAGAAGGCCUUAUUUAUUUCCUGCUCUGGUUUGGGAGUGACGCAACUGAGCCAAGAGUCCAGGCAAACCUUGGAAGAUUCAUCCUCCAACCCACUUUCCCAGCCCUGAAAAAUUAAACCAAGAAUAUGUCCCUUCAAUCUUGACCAGAAAACCAAACAGAACAAAAGGCCCAAAGCUCCAAGCCCCAACGAUUUCAAAGCAAACACAGCUUCAGGGGCUUUUGAAGGUGGAAGGUGAAAGCCCCAGACAGCAAAAUACACUAUAUGUCGUGGUUGCCUUUGGUCACAGCUGCUGGCUGGCGAUUCUGGGACAGGUGGUCACAGGGCCAGCUAGCAGAGCUGGCUGGCAGCAGCCUGGUUCCUGCCACAGUAGGCUGAGAUGCUGACCUGUCCCUCGAUCUCAUGUCCCUGUGGCAUUCCCAGUGUCCAUCCGCCUCCCUCUUCAGAUGGGUGGGAUGUUUCCUGAUUCUCUGCAGCUUGCUGAUGGAGAGGCAGUGCCUCUUAAGCAAGGUGUUAACCUGUAUUGACGUACUCCGCAGGGACUUUAUAUGCAUUGUUGCAAUUCAUUAAUAAGAGAUGGUUACUUAUUUACUUAUUUUCUAGGUUGGUAGGAAAUGAAGGCUGGGAGAGGCAAAGCCAAUUGGCUCAAGGUCAUGUCCGUCAACAUUUCUCUAAAGUUCUGCUUUCCAGACCACAGCAAGUCAGUAAGAUCAAGACCGUCUUAGAAUAAGUUCUUGACAAAAAGAAUAAACCUCCGUCUCACCCACUCUCUUCCUCUUGUCCUUCCACGGAGAGUUUGGGGUUGGUUUUCACCACAAUCAUUGAUCUUUUACUUUUUUGCUCUUUGAAAAUAUCUGUAGCUGUGGGUCAGGCAUAGUAGCUGAGUGAGGAUGUAUAUAUGUGUGUAUAUAUAUAUAUAUAUAUAUAUAAUAUAUAUAAUAUUUUUUGGUCGGAGGGUGUGUGUCCAAAUAUUAACUUCUAAUCCUCUCCCAGGAAGGAGAUAAACAGUCCCACAGGACUCACGCGGAAUAUUUUUUAGCGUCUUGCACUUUUGCCAGUUCCUGCAUCCUCUCCGACACACGCUCUGCACAUGUGUUUAUUCAUCUGAAGCCUGGAAGUCAGCAGGCAUUUAAAGAUCCUCAAGAUUCAUCCUCUCAUGCAUUCUGUGGUAUGGGAAAGAGACCAUCCCUGGGUUUGGAGCCUGAAGCGCUGCGCUGGAGCCUGGUCAGCCACCCCAGCCCAUUGCCUUGCACCAACUAGGUGCUUUGCAUAUGAUUUGGAAUAAGGAAUGAAUGCCUGAUGGAAGACGCUAGAAGGGAACACAGGAGCAUGAACCUCCCCAAAGGAGGCUUGAACCAAUUGCCUGGGCUGGGAUCUCCACAGCAUCCAGUUCUGAUCCUCAUAAGCAUCCCUUCCAACUAACACGAGGGUCUGUAUUCCAGGAGGAGACACUAGGCUCUUUCUGUGGUUCUCAGAUGCAUGAAUGAAUGGAGCUGCGAAAGGCAUGUUUAGU